AUUGAACGCUGGCGGCAGGCCUAACACAUGCAAGUCGAGCGGAUGAAGGGAGCUUGAUCCUGGAUUCAGCGGCGGACGGGUGAGUAAUGCCUAGGAAUCUGCCUGGUAGUGGGGGAUAACGUCCGGAAACGGGCGCUAAUACCGCAUACGUCCUGAGGGAGAAAGUGGGGGAUCUUCGGACCUCACGCUAUCAUAUGAGCCUAGGUCGGAUUAGCUAGUUGGUGGGGUAAAGGCCUACCAAGGCGACGAUCCGUAACUGGUCUGAGAGGAUGAUCAGUCACACUGGAACUGAGACACGGUCCAGACUCCUACGGGAGGCAGCAGUGGGGAAUAUUGGACAAUGGGCGAAAGCCUGAUCCAGCCAUGCCGCGUGUGUGAAGAAGGUCUUCUGAUUGUAAAGCACUUUAAGUUGGGAGGAAGGGCAGUAAGUUAAUACCUUGCUGUUUUGACGUUACCAACAGAAUAAGCACCGGCUAACUUCGUG
rnacentral:rRNA from 1 species